ACACGGGGGGCGCAAGCGUUAUUCGGAAUUAUUGGGCGUAAAGGGCGUGUAGGCGGUUUUAUCGGUCAGAUGUGAAAGCCCAGGGCUCAACCCUGGACGUGCAUUUGAAACAGUAAGACUUGAGUACGCUAGAGGAAAGCGGAAUUCCUGGUGUAGAGGUGAAAUUCGUAGAUAUCAGGAGGAACACCGAUGGCGAAGGCAGCUUUCUGGACCGAAACUGACGCUGAUGCGCGAAGGCGUGGGUAGCGAACAGGAUUAGAAACCCUAGUAGUCC
rnacentral:rRNA from 1 species